rnacentral:lncRNA from 1 species
CCUUUGAAUAUUUUUGUUUAGUCCCUCAUUUUCCCCAUUACACAACUAGUUUUAACUAAUAUAAUAAUAAUGAUUGUUAUUGGCAAAGGACUUGAUGGUUGGUACUCCGAAAUUUCAAGUUCAAAUUCUAGUUGAUUCACAUUUCUAGCUAAAUUUAUUUUUAAAUAAAAUAAACGAAACGGAUAACGUGCUACCAAUCUCUCUCAAAAAAAAUAAAAUAAUAGUUGUUAUCAUGAAUAAUUAUCU